rnacentral:misc_RNA from 1 species
AACAGUAAUAAAUAAUAAUACCUCAGCCAACAAAACGACGCCGUUUUCCGAACCCUAGAUUGCGCAACAAUCAAAAAGUAUAAUAAAAAUAGAAGAGGGGAAAAAGAACCAAAACGACAUGUCGUCUCUGUUGUCCAACUCCAAGCCCUAAAAUCGACAAAUACAGAUGAGAUCAAGAAUGAUCUACAAAUUUGGAAUUAGGGAAAGGGAAUACGACGGCGUUUAAGUGUAGAGAUCAGCGGCGGCAGCGGGUGAUGGCGGUGCAACCGCGAGAGUAAGGAUUGACAGGGCCGCGAGCCUUGUAGCAGUUGUGAGUGUAGUAAGGGCGGCCGGAGCGGGGCGGGCAAGGGAUCCGGUUGGCGGCAAGGGCGCCGUAGGAAAUGUAGUAGUGGACUCGGCUCCAGAAGAGAGAUCUGCGGGGGUCUUGUUGUAGGUCGAGUUCAUCGUCGUGGAUGUCGUCGGCGGCGGCUUCGAUGAGGGAGGUGGUGGUGGGCCAUUCGAGGGCGUCGGUCAUGAGCUUGAGAGAGGUGUCGACGGAGAGGUGGGCGGAAGAGGAAGAAAUGAAGAGGAGGAUAGUGAAGAGGAGGAGGAGGAGGAAUUUGGAAGCCAUUGGAAA